rnacentral:rRNA from 1 species
UAGUCCACGCCGUAAACGAUGAUAACUCGAUGUUGGCAAUACACCGUCAGCGUCCAAGCGAAAGCGUUAAGUUAUCCACCUGGGGAGUACGAUCGCAAGAUUGAAACUCAAAGGAAUUGACGGGGGCCCGCACAAGCGGAGGAGCAUGUGGUUUAAUUCGAUGAUACGCGAGGAACCUUACCUGGGCUCAAAUGUAUUAUGACAAUUCCCGAAAGGGAACUUUUCUUCGGAACAUUUUACAAGGUGCUGCAUGGUUGUCGUCAGCUCGUGCCGUGAGGUGUCGGGUUAAGUCCCAUAACGAGCGCAACCCCUAUCGUUAGUUGCCAGCAAUUCGGUUGGGAACUCUAACGAGACUGCCUACGCAAGUAGCGAGGAAGGCGGGGACGACGUCAAAUCAUCAUGGCCUUUAUGCCCAGGGCUACACACGUGCUACAAUGGCAGGUACAAUGGGUCGCCAACCCGCAAGGGGGAGCCGAAUCCCAAAAUCCUGUCCCAGUUCGGAUUGGAGUCUGCAACUCGACUCCA